rnacentral:rRNA from 1 species
UCGUGGGGUGACUUGGCAGUUUAAUUACGAUAACGAACGAGACCUUAACCUACUAACUAGCCCGUAUUGCUUUGGCAGUACGCUGGCUUCUUAGAGGGACUCUCGGUGCAAGCCGAGGGAAGUUUGAGGCAAUAACA